rnacentral:rRNA from 1 species
GCGAACGCUGGCGGCAGGCUUAACACCUGCAAGUCGAGCGGGCCUUUCGGGGUCAGCGGCGGACGGGUGAGUCACGCGUGGGAACGUGCCCUCUGGUUCGGAAUAACUCAGGGAAACUUGAGCUAAUACCGGAUACGCCCUUUUGGGGAAAGGCUUGCUGCCGGAGGAUCGGCCCGCGUCUGAUUAGCUAGUUGGUGAGGUAACGGCUCACCAAGGCGACGAUCAGUAGCUGGUCUGAGAGGAUGAUCAGCCACACUGGGACUGAGACACGGCCCAGACUCCUACGGGAGGCAGCAGUGGGGAAUAUUGGACAAUGGGCGCAAGCCUGAUCCAGCCAUGCCGCGUGAGUGAUGAAGGCCUUAGGGUUGUAAAGCUCUUUUAUCCGGGACGAUAAUGACGGUACCGGAGGAAUAAGCCCCGGCUAACUUCGUG